UAUAUAGGGUUUUGGUAACCCAGGUUAGUAUCUAAGAUAGAUACAGGUUUUUGAGACCAUAAAAGGUCUCCGGUUUAUUAUAGGGUUUUGGUAACCCAGGUUGGUAUCUAAGAUAGAUACAGGGUAUCUCAGGUAGAUACAGGUUUUUGAGACCAGAAGAGGUCUCCGGUUUAUUAAGUCUAUAGGUGUUCUGAGCAGCACGGUUUGUAGAUCUAUAAGUAUAACCCAAACUUCUCUUUCUCCCGGUCACCUUUGUUUGUCUUAAGUGUUUUUUGUGGGUGAUUGUUUGUCUAUAUUGGGGACACACUUUGGUAAGUUAGUAGUGUCCCCACUCUGAGUCAGCAGUAUGGGAAAUGUGAGUUCAUGUCCUGAGUGACCAAUAUAUGUAUGUAUAUGUGUGUGUAUGUGUAUGUAUAUAUGUAUGUAUAUAUGUGUGUGUAUAUGUAUAUAUGUGUGUGUAUAUGUAUAUGUGUAUAUAUAAGAUAGCAGUACUUUUAAACAAAUGGAGGUUUUAAAAAUACAUAGGGAUUAAGGAGAGAACGCAGGUAACUUGUUUUUCUUUGGUUUUUACCAUAUAUUGGGGCUGAUGUGUACUGUAGUCCUUGCUGCUGUCCAGUAGUGAUGGGAGUGAGCGCAGGACUUAUCUUUCUGCAAGAUAGCAGUACUGUAUAUUAG